AUUUCUGGCCCUUGGACCACCAUGAAGACCAGCUGGAAUAAGAACAUCCAUACUUGUUGAGCAGUCACCAGUAUCUCGCAUAGAACAAGCAUGAGGUUGUGAGGAUUCCAUGAGAUCAUCUGUUUGCUUUACACUUGAUUUCUUUAGAAACUUCAAGCCCCAACCUCCAACCUUCUCUUGGUGAUUAUCAGGAAGAUGGUCCUUCACAACAAUGGCAACUAAUUCAAGAUUUGGUGGAAGAUGAUUCUCUAAAAGAUUGGGCCCACAAAGUGCAUCAACAUUGUUAUCUGUAUCUUGAAAUGGCUCCCAAGGACAACUCUCCAUUAUGGCACUUGAUCCACUAAAUCUGGAAGUAUUUCUCUUCUUCAUUGAGUGACUGCUCCGGAACACUUCCGCCACCUUCUUUGACAAUCCCUUGCUCUUUUUGAGGUCAUGGCUUGAAGUUUGCAUUCGCAAAAGAUUUUCAUUACCACCAAAUAAAACAAACUCUCUCUCCAUUAUUCUAGAUUUAUUUGGGCACAGGGUAAAAGAAGUUGAUACCUUCAUCUUACCUACAAGAUGAGAGUCACUGUCAUGAAUCUCAUGUUCCUUUUGGCCACCCAUCC
rnacentral:misc_RNA from 1 species